UAAGUUUUAAGUUCAUGGUUAUUUUCCUUCAAGUUCUUUCUCUACCUUGAAAGCAACAUUGGUGACAUAGGAGGAACAUCAGUUUGCAACCCCCCAAAUGCUUCUUUUUCAUUCUUUUAUAAACAUUUAAUACCUCCAGAACAUGCUUAUGUCUUUAAGAUUUGGGAGUGUGUGCCAUCCCUCCGCACUGCAGUGUAUGUCAGCUCUCAUUACUCUCUGCCAUAAGUUCAAGUUCAGAAUCAAAGUAUUUCCUGCAUGUAACGCUGAGGUUGCAAAGGCAAAGAUGGGCUGUAUAUACCCACUAUGGCCGUAGACAUUCGAAAUAUUAUAAUCCAGAACUGUAGACCGCAGAACUGUAGAACUGCAGCAAAUGGAUGUAUAAGGCCUAUUUCCCAGCACUAGCUUUCAGAGGCAUUGCACAUAAGCCUCAGGAAACCACCGCUUACAUGAGCAGCACUGUAGCAUCUUUAAUUGCCCAUGUCCAGGGCCCCACAGUGGGAGCGUCCCUGCUGGACACUGGCUUAUGAUCUGCAUUCCAUUCAAGGCCUAUUAUUCCAUAAUGUCUGCUUCCUGACUUGAAGUGUUUUCAGCUCUGGUUGUUUUUAAUGUAUGUCACCCAUCUGUUGUUGCAAAAACACACUGUGGGCAGAGCUUGUUGUUUUUUGUUUUUUGUUUUUUUUUUUCAUCUGAAUCAACAGAGUCAAGAUGGGUAUAUGAAAAAGCUGAUGAUACCUUGGUUGCUCUUGUCACAUGUAACUAUUUCAUUGGAAGCUUCUGAAUAUUCUUUGUGACUAUUGUUCAGGCCUUUCUCCCACUUCCAGUGGUUCCCAUUUGAAUGUCCUGGAGAACCCAGAAUUUACAACCAUCUGCAAGUGUGAUUACAUGAGCCUGCUUCAAUAUGUUGAUCUUUUCGAUAGUCACAGGAUAAAACAAAUCAUCUGACCGUCUUGACCAUCUUCAAAUUUACAUGCAGGAUUUUUGGUUUUGUGUCCAUCUGAUUAUGUAGUCCUUCAUUUGAUCACCUUAAUGUUGCUGAUUACAUUAGACAGGGAAACAGAAUAAAUGGCAUGCAGUGCUUCCCAUUGCUAGAGGUUUGUAUAGACUUUGUGAGGCUACACAUCCUUAGUGUACUUGGAAGGGCUGGAAUGCAACGAAUGUAGCUUUUUUUUUUAAUGUUUGUUUUCAUUGCCCAUUGAUGACUCCUAGAAAGAUGAGUAACUUAGAUUGCACAUCUUUAAGACUGUCCAAGAUUGAUGGCACUCUGGACCUUUUCUUGUUUCACCUUACUAUCCUAGGUUUUCUUUUCUCCUAGUCCAUAAAGGUAUUGUUAAUGCUCAGUACUCAGCACUGGGCUUAUUUGUAUCACAGAUGAAACUUAGAGCAUUCUCCUGGCGGUGACUAGUCAAGUUCACAGGUAAGGGAAGAAAAAGCAUCCUUGUGUGUAGGGAACACAUGAUUGCUAGACAAAAAGCCACUGGAGAAACUCAGUAGGAAUGGGAGGAGGGAGCCUGGUGGAAACUUGACUGAAGGGAUGGCUCAGAACAGCUAAAAUAAGAAACUGACAGCUCCAGUAUGCUCUUGUAGCACUUUGUCAGCUCUGGCUGUUACACCUUAAGGUGGUUACUAUAUAUCUUAGGAAAACAGGGCAACAUACUUCUGAGAGAGCACUUAGUUUCCUUGACUAAAUUUUAGGAAACUGAAAGUACACUCUAUAUACACGGUUCUUGAGUUGAUCUCCAAAUCCCAUAAGAGUGUUAGUCUUUCAGAAGUGUUGAGUAAACUUGUGGAGAUUUAAAAAGCUUCAAAGGAACUUGUAGGUCAGUGAGUGUCCUAUUAGGGUCUCUAUCACUGUGGUGAAACACCAUGGCGAAAAGGAAAGUGUUUAUUUUGAGCCAGGGUUUAUUUUGAGCUCAUGGCAGGAACCUCGAGGUAGGAGCUGAUGCAGACAGAGCCUCUGGAGGAUGCUGCUUUCUGAGCUGCCUCUCACAUCUUGCUCACCUGCUUUCUUGUGGAACCUGGGAUGAUCCACCGUGGGGUGGCACCACCCAUACAUAGGCUUGACCCUCCCAUAUCAACCACCAGUCAAGAAAUGGAUCAGAGGCUUGCCCACAGGCCAACCUGGUGGGAACAUGGGGCAGCUGACGUAAAACUAGCCAGCACAGUGAACAAGAAUAGUUUACUUUUUUUGAAUGCUGAACGAUUUAAGAUAGCAGAAAAAAAAAUGCCUGAAGUCAGAACAUUUUCUUAAUAAAAAAGUAGCUGUUAUGCAUAAGCAAUUUGGGGCUGGAUUUAUAUGUUCUCUAGAGUUAGAGACUUUUUUUUUGGAAGGGGUUGCUUUGUUUUGAAGUUAGUUGCAUUAUCAUUCUAAAGUAGCUUUCCAAUUAGCAACAGACACUAGUAAAAUGCUUACAGUAACCCCCUCCCCCUCUACUCCUGGAAGUGUGAGCUCCUUUCUGGCCAAUCCAGGUGCUAUGGCUUCCAGCCAGGGCAGAUGGAACCUGAGAGACUCAGGUUCUGCUUCUUUCAGGAGCGGCUAGAGCACUCAGAGCAAGGUCUGUGCAUAAGGAUCCCAGAUCUCACCUGGGGGUAUGGAAAAGAGUUUCCUACUAUGUUGCAAUUAGCUCAUUUUAGUGAGAUUGCUGGUACCAGACUCCAAAGUCGGUGAGAGCAGACAGCUUUCCAAAACUGAUGAUGAUACUGCAGUGUCGCAGCCCUUCGGUUAAGCUGCCCUCCUAAUGGCAGAGGAUGCUUUGUCGGCUCACAGUUGGAAUGUAGGUCUGGCCGAAGCUUCCUUGGCAGUCAGCUGCUGGCCUCAUUUAUGGCUGCCUGGCCAUAAGUCAAGUCCUGGCAUCCAAUGGUGAACUCUUCAGGGAGGAGGGGAGCCAGUCCUUCCCCAGAAUAAAUAACGAGUCACUCUCAGUGGUCAUGGUGGAGGAAUGGAGUGAGAGAGCAAUCGUGCAUUUAUUUCAUGAAUCAGGGAAGUUUAAAACCUUGGGCAGUGGGAGGGGUUUUGGGGAUGAAUGUGAUUGAUUUGCUAGAGAUGCCAGUGAUAUUUCAUUUGUAUGUGGCAGCACAGGAUUACAUUCCAGAGCACAGUAGUAAAUGUGGUAGCACAGUCCUAGCACAGGAAAGGGGAAUGCAGUACUUAAUUAUCCUAUAGGUGGGGGAAAAACUCCAGGUAUGGUUAAAGAUCAUUUGCUGAAAGCUAAGGUCUCCUUAGCAUAGGGUGGGGUAUUUCCAGGAAUUUCCUGGUGCUUGCUGAACAGGUUGUACCAGGAGAAUGGGAGUUGAACCUGUUUUUCCCUAAGGACUAGGUGACAUUCCUCAGGUAGAGGAUGUAGGGAUUUGGGUUCCCCAGAGUAGGCAGAGAAGAGGGAGCCCUGUUGACAAGGGAGUCUGUUAUUUUUUGCACUGGGCUCAGAAAUUAUCUGGUAAUGCCAGACUUUGACCUUAACAGCAGGGCCUCACAUUUUCCCCUUGGCUAAACUUCUCAAAUUUUUACUGAAUUUGUCUUUGGAAUAAGAGAAUAAAAUAUCUCUUAUUAAAGAGACAGUUGCUUGACCAUUGUUCAGUGCUGUUCUCUUCACAAUAGGUAGGCAAUGGAAGCAGCAUAGAAUGGAUAAUGAGAAUUUGAUACAUAUACACAAUGGAGUUGUAUUCGGCUAUAAAGAAAAAUGAAAUCAUGAAACUCGUGGGUCAGUGGAUGGAACUAGAAGAUACUAUACUUGAGUAGGAUAUGCAUGACUUGGAGGAACCUGGCUGGAACUGAUCAGAAAGCCUCUUCCUUGAGGCCUGUCUGCUCUUCUAGAAUCUGAAGCUGUUACGUAAACUUCUAAAGGAGAAAAGCAACUGCUGGCCCUACCCAGCUGUAAAGCCUGCACUACAACAGUGAUCAACCCUGCAAGUGAUCUCCAACAGUCCCAGAGGUGAGAACCUUCACAGAACAGAAAUACACAACUGGUCAAAUUGCAGAGACCAAGAGUCUAUGGAAUUCCCAGUCUAUAGGUUUCUACAGCAUCACCCCUAUGCCUGAUAUUCAGGGAACAAUAUGGAAGAGGGAGCAAAGAUGAUGUAAGAGCCAGAGGACCAGGAUGCCCGUUGCAGGGUAGUGGCUUCUAAACAUUGCAGUAAUGCUACUCUCAUGGACUUUCAACAAUGUGGUUGCUUAAACAAGACCUGCAUGGUGGUGGAGCCGGUUUACACGCCAGCAUGGAUAGGGGAAAUUUUCCAAGGCCCUACCCUUUCUAGAUGAAGAGCAAUCAGUGGCUUCUGAGGGAGGAAGAAUUUUUUUGAGGAACAGUCUCCUUGUUGAUUAUUCAGUUCCAAGUGGCCAGCUGUAAACACAUGUACAUACAAGCAACACUAAAUGGACCCAGUAGGUUGUGUGCAUGCACGUGUGCACAUGUGCGUGUGUGCAUGUGUGUAUCAACAAUAAUUAAAGAAGAGAUCAGUAAGUUUAGAAGGAAUAAGGGGGCAUGAAAAGAACUGGAGGAGAAGAAAGAGGCGUAGAAGUGAUAUAAAUACAGUACUUGUGUGAAAUUCUCAAAAUAAACAAAAAUAUUUUAAAAAUGAAGUAAAUAAUAAAGUAUUUUUUGUUUUUGUUAUAAUAUUGAAGUAAUACAUAAAAUAUAUAGCUAUCAUUACUUUAGUGAAUUACAUUCUUUUGUUUCUGCCAUUUAUUAUACCUAUAAUAUAUAUUUUAUUUUAAUUAAAACAUGGUAUUCA